GUUCCUGCUCCGGCUCCUGCGGGGAUGGAUGCUUCACGCAGUAAGCGAGACACCUUACCUGGAUCCGCCUUUGUAGCCUCCUCCUGGCUCUGGGGGCUGUCCUGUGGGGUCCGAGUAGCUGAAAGACAGCCCCUCCAUGUGAGGAAGCCCCCAACUGGGGAAAACCCCCUCGUGGACUCAUUCCUGUCCCUGCAUGUGGCCUUCACCUGACUGUCUGCAUUGAGGCAUCCUCUGCCAAGAGCAAUUUCAAAGUGGCAGGAAAGUGCUGCUUUCAACAUCUGCCACAUUUGCAAGAAGAGCAAAGGUGGCCCAUUUGAGACCACCCUUGAACUAAACCAUCCAGUGAGCCCCUGAGGUCGGGACAGAAGUGGCCAUGACCUUCCUCAAGCAGGGACUGUGGUGGAGCCCACCUUAUCCAGCACAAGGUGGCCUGCUGACUUCUGGUGACAGUGAUGCCAACUUCCUGGCUGUCCAAGGUUCAAAUCUUGGUCUUAAUCCUCCUGGCCUUCUCUCAUCAAUGGCCAGAGCCACCCUAGCUAACAAGGUGCCCAGGGACUCCGGGGUGGGAGAAGUCCAGCUUCUUCUUAGCUGAGGACAUUUGAGUCUCGUCACAGCCCCCAAAAGAAUACUCAUUUUUGUAGCUGGAGGGCCUGGCCUCUGUCUAUCUUUGCUUUUCCAGAAGCUGACAAGUACCUGCCGGAAAAACUGCCUCUUUUCCCUCCCGUGCUUGGAGCAGGCAUUGCUGACAGAUCACAGCUGCUGGGCCCAAAGGUCCCUUUGCACGCGGGACUUCAGGAAGUUGCUGCUGACCUAUGGGAGUUGGUGCAGAAAGAUGAAAUUUGUUAUCCUUGGCUGUAUCAACUCUCUCUCCUCUCCUUGGUGGUGAUAGUUUUGUUCUUAAAAGCCUCUUGUGAGAGAAUUUGUGGAUGAAGAACCUGUAAGAUCACAAGUGAAACAA
rnacentral:lncRNA from 1 species